AACGGAAACUAUUGCAGCGAUAUAUGUAUAUACGGAGCGUCUAGAGUCAGGUCGGACCGCAUCUCUAUAAUCAGGACCAAAAACAUUUUUUAAUUCACAACCGUUGGAUUUUAUGACUUCGAAUGGACGGCUGAGAUUGAAGAUGGGCUCACGUGUGAAAACCUUGCCCAAAUCUCCCCUUUCCGUUCACUCUCCCCUUCCCGCUGGCAAGGAAAGAGAUCCUUUUUGAUAAUUGAAUUUUUUUUUUUUCCUCUUUUCCUAGUGGUUUUUUAGUUUCUCUUCCGUGCAGCUCAUGUAUAACUUUUUUGGCAGGUGCAUGGUGAAGUAAUCUUUUUUUUUUUUAAAGAUUAAAUUUAACGACUGUUUUGCAUAUUAUUAUUUUUAGUGACAGGAACGGGGAUUUUCACUAUUUUGUUAAGGCGGUGAGAGUUGGAAAUGGUAGGAAAAGAAAACAUGAGGACAGAGGACUUGAAUCUGUGCUUUGAGAAGCUGAUGAUGCGCGGUGGUAGUGCUCGGAGUGGUGGUCGUGGAAAAGUGAAAAUGGAAGCUGGAGUUAUUACUGAGUUGAAGGAUAUUCCUAUGGCGCUCCUGUUGCAAAUCAUUUCCGUCGUCGACGAUAAGACGGUGAUAAUGGCUUCUGGGGUCUGCCGUGGGUGGAGAGAUGCUAUUUGCAUGGGUGUUACCCAUCUUUCUUUUUCGUGUUAUAUGUUCUUCCCUCUAAAUUAUCUCCGUUUCUUCUGUGCAACUUUGUAAGUUGGGUUCAAUGGAAUCAGUUUUGCGAGCGGGAAGGGGAGGUUUGGGCAAGGUUUUCACACGUGAGCUCACCUUCAAUUUCAGCCGUCCAUUCGAAAUUAUAAAAUCCAACGGUUGUGAAUUAAAAAAUAUUUUUGAUCCG